CCUCGAUCCCUCAGGAGCAGGAGGCUGGGUCUUCAACAUGUUCUGGAAAGCACUCUCCAGACUUGAGCUGCUUCAUAAAUAACAAAGCUGACCUAGGGAAAGCUGGAGUUGGUUUCAAACUAGGUCCGUACUUUUUUUUAAUUGGCUCAGUCAGAGCAUAUAUAUAGCCAGGAAAGCAACCAGGAGCCAGGGUGAACGCCUCCCGUGGCAGCGAGCACACACUGAUCCAUCGCAGCUCAGGCUGGUUGCCCCAGCAAAAGGAAGGAGAGUCUCUCCACAGGCAGCAGCCACCGUGCCCAGCUGUGACAGCAGGACAGGGGAAUGUUAUUUGUACAAGGGUCAUGAUCAGUUCACUCAGAAUUUCUGCUCAGAAGCUGUACUGUAAAAUAGAAGAAAAGCUUCUUCAAUUGCCUGUUUCAAGGCUGUCAUCAGUUAGCAGUUUUUCUUCCUACCAGAUGACCAGGCAUGGUAGAAAUUAUAAAGCUACAUUGGAAGAUUACACGUUUAGCUUUUCAGAGUGUGGAGUACUGUACAAUUUCCUAUUGAAUGUUUAAGUGGUUAAAGCCAAGCAAAUGGAGAGGAAGAAGAGAAGAACAUGCCAUGUACCAGCUGCAGAAGACAGCCCUUCACCUAAACAUGGUUGUAAAUGAUCUGAGUCCUCUGCUGCUGGUCAUCUUGAUUUUCCAUCAUAUUUUGUAUCUUGGAGGAAUUUUGACAGGUUUAUGUGUGACACUAGGUUACCCUGUAAAGUGGAAAGCCUGUAAUUAGAUGCUGUGUAAUCAGUAACCUCCCACUGGCAACCACUCUGCCUUAAAUCUGCCAUCACACUUAAUCAAGAAAAUGCCCCCAGGGAGGCCAGUGUCUCCACAAGCCACGAACCUGUCAUCUGCGGGAUUUACCUUGACACAUACUGCCACCUCUGUAAAGGACCUGCCCUAAAAUACAAGAAAAGGCCACAGAUGAGGACAAGCACGUGUCCUGUAAAGCUAAAGCCACCAACAGGACCCUUCACAUACUGCAUGGGAUGUGACUACGUAUCUUACGUAGAAGUGUGUUAAGGGAUGUGUUUGAUGGCUUCAACAAGAAUUUAGCCUACAAUUGCUAUUUGAAUAAAAGAUUAACCAUUCCUAGCAGUAUUUGAAAUAACUGGAACUGCACAGCGUAAGAGACAGCCAUAACAAUAACACAAAGCUACACAAAUGUGACAGGACAGACUGCAAUGAAGGUAUGAGUUGAGAAAGAUUUUUUUCCUAUAAAACCAUUACUGUACGUAUACCAUUUUUGUUGUUUUUUUUUUUAAAUGUCAACUACAAAAAAGAUACGUUAUAUAAGGGAGAGGUAUCAUUAAAUACACAAACACACCCACAAGCCAAAAUAGUGCCAUAAAAGUCCAAAAGCGAGUGUCUAGUUAAAACUAAUGUUUUUUAAUAAAAUUUCUUGGAACUGUUUUUAGUGUGCUCAGAUAUAUAUAUACCUGCUUACUUCUCAGAUAAAAACAUGCAAAAAGAGAAGUCUGCUACAUGAAUGCAGCAUGCGUGUCAUUGUUUUUGACAGAGUAGCCAGUGAGGAGAAAAUGCAUUUAGAGGCAAGAAUUAACUGCAACUGUAGAUAGCAAGUAAAGACUAAGAGGACCAUAAAGGUCCUGAGUUCCUAAGGGGUUUAUUUACUGAUGUCUGUCUGAGAAAUGGCUAAUCUUAUCACAGACCUCCCUCAUUACCGUGAAAAUAGAAAUUUGGACCUGCACAGGCAGUUGCUGGUAUACAUCCCCCAUGAUACACAAGUGGUACAAAAUGACAGUGAUUGUUCUCGUUGGCACGACACCAUAGUGCAGAGCAGGCAGACAUGGGUCCCAGUAGGCAGCCUGAUGACCCAAGUCCCAUCCCUGACUCAUAAAUACUUUCUUCAUGUUUAAUAUAAAAAGCUUAAAUGCCAGUCAUAAAACAGCUCCUGCCUGAGCUGCUGCUCUCUGCAGGCACCAAUCCAUGCACCUGCCAAGGUGAGAAAGGCAACAUUGACGAUCUUGAAUUGCAGCACAGAGAUGAAAUAGAGGUAAAAGUUGUCUUGUUUUCACUUAAUACAACUUCUUAAAUUACUCUAUAUCAGCAGAGCGACUGAAGCCCCCAGAAAUUUAGCAUUUAUCUGCGUCUUCAAAAUUAUUUAACAGGAAGCAUUUUUUAUAGCUACAAGAAAUGUUCAUAAUCAUAAUAGGUACCAACUAACUGGUACUGCUUUGCAACCAUGUCUUGAACAUGUGACUAUACUUUUCUUCAUUUUAAUGUAUUCUGUUCAGAUCAUUUCAUCUAGCUUCAGUAAUUCAUGCAAUAUUCAUUACCUUGCAAAGGCACACUGAGUCUUCUGUACAGAAUACUAAAACCCUUGGGGAAGUAGAUUGACCAUUGAAAUCUUACUAACAUAUUUUGAUACACAUUAUCUAUUACUAAUAUAUGUUGAUACAUACAUAUACAUACAUACAAGAGACAUUAAGAAACAAGCACCUCAUUCUUCAGA